rnacentral:tRNA from 1 species
ACUCAGCUAGCUCAGUUGGUAGAGCGUGAGACUCUUAGGGUCAUGGGUUUGAGUCCCACAUUGGGUG